AUACCAGACUGUGUAUAAAAAGUAAAUCAGAAACUCCUUUUAAACUUAAACUAUAAAAGGACAUGGCAACUUAUAUUUCAGGGAAUAAAUGUACCACUGUCUGAACUGGAAAAAAACACCCCUACUAUGAGCAGGAUGGUUUUAAUCACUUCUUGUUCCUGAAUCUUUAACAUCUACUACCAGCCACUGGGUCAAUGAUAGGAGAGUGAGCUGACAAGAUAAUUGCUCUUGUCUACUGCCAGAGCAGCUGAACAAUGACCCUCUAGACCCGACACUGGUGAGGAGACCUUAAGUCUAGGCCUCUAGGUCUCCUUGCUUUUCUUUGCUCCAAAACUUUAUUUCAGGGUACAUGUUUGUCCUCUGGAGGUAUGUCUGUCUCUAUGAGAGAGAACAACUUAAGAAAAUGGAAUUCUUGAAGAUGUUCCAGUCCCUAGGAGACCAUGGCGCUUCACUGGACUUACUCCAGUAUGUCCAUGUGUCUUAUGCUCUCAGAGCCCAGGCUGUCCACACCACCCCAGAUGUUUCUCACCAGUACUGAGCAGAAGGGAAGGAUCAUCUUCCUCAAGCUGCUGUCACCCUGAUGCAGCCUAACAGAACCAGGAAGAGUACUGUGACUACAUGCAUCGACUUUGCAGAAAAGAGUGUUAUUUUCUAGUUUGUCAGCUGAAAUGUCUGACUCUUGCUUUAGUAAACAUAUCAUCUGGCUUUUGUUUUAGUAUCUUUCAUGUAAGUGUCAUGGUUACACUGAAGAUGAGCACUACUUAAAUAAGUUCAGGCAGUGCCUAAUUGCAGGCAAAGUAUGAUUCAAAGCUUUUAUGGGUAAAAGCUAUGCCAUGGCAACUUUGCCAAUCACCUGUGUAUUGAUGUGCUCAUGCAGACCCACCAUUGAGGGUAUUUCUCAAGCACAACCUUCUGGCACCAGCGAACUAGAAAUAGGUUUACAAACACUGUGGACAGUUGUUGAUCUGCUGAGUCAUGACAGAAAAUAUACAAUAGCAAGGGGUAGCUUAUGUUCCACCAAUACAUAAUUCUAAUUUAUGUUUUUGUCACCCAAGAAGUCCGUGAUAAAAAACAUUUCUUGCACAAUGGAAUUGGCAUGGGAUUGUAUUAAUUUUUCUUUUUCUUGAUUGUAUUCCAACAAGCCUAGUAAAACUUUAAGAGAUCAGGGAUAAGUUUUUUAAAAAAUUAAGGGCUUGCUCUUUUGUGAUGCCUAAGCAUAUCAAGUGAAAGGAAGCUAUACUCUCUGAAACCACAUGAAUAUAAUAAUGUCUUAUAACAAAAUAUUCAGGAAAUGGUAUUUCUGUGCUAAUUGCUCCUCAUAUUCUCUUCUACAAAUUCAUCCCCUUUUUUUUCUUUUUAUAGCAGAUCUAGACAUUUGGAUCUUUAAAACCAAUUUUUUUUCAGAGUGCCUUUUUUUCAGAGUUUGAGCAAUGUUAGUUAUUUAUCAGUAUUCUGCCAAUACCAUCACAAGACUUUUCAAUGCAGAUUAUUCUCUUUCAUGGACAGUGCCUUUAAUAUUUUUUGUAUGGUAAAGACAAUAUUAGUGAAUAGAGUAAGAGGAGUUUUAGUUCUCCACCUUAAUUUUCAAUUUUAUUUUUUCUCCUUUCCUUUGCUCCACAAGUUAAAAUCAACAUCUCUGUGUCAAGAAGAUUUGCUCUCAGCAAUCUACUUCAUGGAUGCCAAGAGUGGCACAUAGGCACAGUGUGAACAGCAAAGAAUAGGGCUAAUUGAGUACUGGAAGUUAAAACCUUUUAAGGAAGAAAGAUAAUUGUGACAAAAUUAGUGACGGAUAAUCUUUCUUUUCAGAGCCACAGUACAGCUCAUAAGCAAAGGAACAAAUCUAUUUUGUUUUGUGGCUAUGUAAUGCGUAUAUUUUUGCAUAAAAUAUUAACUGAAUGGUUCAAUAAUUUCCUUACUAAAUCAGUUACAAGUGACCUCCAAAUGGCUACCUUUAUUUAGUGCACAAAUCCUUUCAUAGGAAUUAAAAAUAGAGUGAAAAGAAGAAAAACAAUUAGCCUGGCAUGGAUAGGAUAGACAAACACUAGGACACAGAAAGGAUGUUUCAAGUUACAAAAUUGCAACAGGGAGAGUUUAUGUGUCAACAUAGCCAAGAGGUUUAAAAAGGUAUUUCAUUCCACUGGUGUUAUUUAGAAGACAAGCAGUUAAAAUAUAUUUUAUGUAUUUUGUUAGGCAAUUGCAUAUAUCCAUAAAGGACAAAACUAAUCUUCCGGGUUCUGUAUGGAAAUAAAAUCCAAAUUCACUGUGCCAGAGCUAAUACUAAAUAGAUAUUCAUCAAAUUAUUUCCUCCUUGUUUUACGUUUAGACUUCAGACAGGUGUGUGAUAAACUGCACCCCCACUUUUAUAACAGAGAAAAUAAGAUUUUGUCAGACUCUCUUAGUUGGAGAGAAAAUUUUCAAGUGUUCGUACACUUGGUGAAAAUCACAAGAGAGCUGAGGGUGGUAAAGCGAAAAAGAAGACUGUGAGUUGGCAAGUGGCAGAAGAAAACCACUGGUUUCACAAAUGGAAAAAAAAAGAAAUAAAAAUGUAUUCUCCACUUCUGGUUCUGAACAGUGAAUUUAUUUUCACUUUCAGUUUAAGAUUAGCUCAAAAGAAGCCUAUUAAUUCAGGUUGGGAUUUUACAGAGUCUGUGUUGGCUUAUCUGUGCUUCCAUUAAGAACAGCGAAAAGUUUACUCUUCAACUCAAUCAGCCUUAAAACAUUCUUAACUGCUCUUGAAAAUCUCCUGGUAGGUUACCUUAAGGAUUUCCUACAAUUGAAAUAAAAUCUGAAUGCUUUAGAGUAGAAAUACUUAACUUCUUAUAAUAGCCCACCCACUAAGUUCACUUGUCAAUAUGCUGCUAAUAUCACCUCAAUACAUAAGAGUACUAGAAAAGAGAACUACACUAUGCAGCAUUAUAAUGCUUUUUCAGAUGUAAUCUACAUAUUAAAAGGAACAUACAGUGGUGGUGAUUUGGUUGUUGGGGUUUUUUUGUUGGUUUGGUUUUGGUUUUGGUUUUUUUGUUGCUUUGUUUGGGGUUUUGGGGGGUUGCCUUAGGUGUUUGUUUUUUUUUUUUUCUUCUUUCAUUCUUUUUUCCUCUUUGAGUUUGAUUUUGUUCUUUUUUAUUUUAUCAAAGAAAACAAACUCAGGUUCAUUUAGUCUUUUGUUUAUAACAGCUCAGGAUUCUGUCUAUGCUUUUCACCAUAUAAGUUUCACUAGAGAUAUAUAUAUAUGAAGUUGUUGAUGUGAUAUAAUGUGCAAUCAUCCUUUCAGUGAAAGAUUCGGUCAUCCAACACACCCACAGCAUAAGGGGGCUAAGAAGGAUAGACAAUCAGGCAAAUAGUAGAAUACAUUGAUCUCACAACUCUGGGUACGAAUUACUGGCUCCCCUCUUUUGUAAAGACGGUUUCAAUCUACUGACCAACAGAAGACCUCUGGCCCACAGAACAUGGUCCUACAUCCCAGGAGGGAAUCGUAGCUUCUAAUUAAGUUGAACACAGUCAGCAAGCAGGGAAGGGGAGAACUUGAGAAUGUGUUCACUUCUACUCUGUAUGCUUAAAAGACCUUUUUUUCUUUAUUAAUACUGCUCUCAUGGGAAAUGCGUGCCUGUUCCAGAAAACAUGAGGUAUAUCCAGGUAGGUGUCCUUGCCACUAGGAUACUUUCCUGAUGGCUCUGCUGUCACCACAGUUCUUGCAUUUUGGGCUACAAAGUGGCUUUCAGUGAAGAUGUCUAAUGACCUGCUGGUUACAGUACCCUGGGAUGAUUCCACUGUGUAACUAGAAAGCAGUUACAGGCAGACUGAAUUCUAAGUGAAUGGAUUUCCCAUCGUUUGCUAUGCUCAUAAGCAUAUAGGAUUUUUACCUUGAGAAGUACUUAACCUGUUGUUACCCAAGUCCUAAGCACUUGAAAUUUUGGUGUCAACCAUCUAAGCCAGGAAGAUCCCCUUCUAUCCAGGGAACUCACCAUGUAAAUUUUCCAAACAUAGCAUUCCUCUGCAAACUUUGAAAGAGAUGGCACAAUUGGAGAAGGCAUCUACAUGCAUUUAAACAACUAUUUCUCAAUAGCUACCUUUGAUUUAUUAUACAGUCCAUUUCUAAAAUAAUUACACUAUCUAUUUUGCCAUUAACAUGGAGGAUGUAAGGAAAGUGAUCCUAGUAAUUAACAGGUUAAAUAUCUUUUAAUUCAAAACAACUGUUUCAGAAUGAAGAAAUAAUUUCCAACCGGGUGCUCGCUUAAUCAUUGUGUUAACAUCAUGUAGACGAGACUCCAGAAAUUGUUUCAAGUAAAAGUAAAGUUGAAGAAUUAGCCCUCCAGACUCAGUUUUCAUAAGGUGGAAAAAUUACAUAAGCUUCAUGUAAUUCUGUGAGUAAGUUUUCUGUUUUCUUCUGUGCAUUCUUUCUCCAGGCUUAAUCAGGAAAAAUUAACUCUACUAAAACCUGCAUGACUACUUGAAAUUUUUGUAAUGAAUAUGGUGCUUAUGAGUUUGUAUUGAUUAAAUGUAACUUGAGGCUAAACCCAGUGUUUAUUCACAGCAGAAGACUGUACUCAUGAACAAAAAUUUACUAAAGCCUGUGUGAAUUUCAUCAACACUUUGUCAUUCCUGUCUUUUUUAAUUUCUGUUCAGAAAAUAAUUAAUGUUCUCUCACUUCUAAUUUCUAUUUAGAAAUUUCUGUCCCACUAAAACAUCUCUGAGUGAGAAGGCAUUUUGUUUCAAAAGUUCUUGGAGGAUCAUUUUCUCAUGUAAUAGGUACCCAGUUGGGCAGAUACAGAGGGAGUAUGUCAUAUAAUCCAGCUCUUAUGAGUUGUACUUAGAACAUUUACAGGUGUUUUCAGUGUUAGCUGUUCAUAAUAACUAACUAAUUAACAUAUUUAUGUUCAGCUAAAUGUUGCUUUAGCUAUCAUUUUUACAUAAUUAUUACUGAUUUUAAUAAACCUAAGCAUGGAACUAGAACUCUUAGAUCUCAUUUUCCGUUAAGUUCUUCAAGGUAUGAAAAGCAAGGGAAUGGCUGAGUCUGAAUUUCUCCAGGAGUGAUUUCUAUGUCUU